CGAGUAGGCGGCCAGUUGUGUCAGAUGUGAAAGGCUAGGGCUUAACCCUAGCAGCGCAUUUGAAACUGACUGGCUUGAGUGUAGGAGAGGGAAGCGGAAUUCCUAGUGUAGCGGUGAAAUGCGUAGAUAUUAGGAGGAACACCAGUGGCGAAGGCGGCUUCCUGGCCUAUAACUGACGCUGAUGCGCGAAAGCGUGGGGAGCAAACA
rnacentral:rRNA from 1 species